rnacentral:rRNA from 1 species
CAUUAAUGAAUGUUGACCCGGGUUGUUGCUGGCCCGGAGGGGCAUUGUGCACACCCAUCACUUUCGUUCAUCCCUGUGCACCCACUGUAGAUGUUGCUGUGUCACAUCUAUGUCUUUUUCCACACACUCUACGUAGACCGCGAAUGUGGAUCAGAUCCUCAGGAUCUAUGUUUAUACAACUUUUAGCAAUGGAUCUCUUGGCUCUCGCAUCGAUGAAGAACGCAGCGAAUUGCGAUAUGUAAUGUGAAUUGCAGAAUUCAGUGAAUCAUCGAAUCUUUGAACGCACCUUGCGCCUUUUGGUAUUCCGAAGGGCAUGCCUGUUUGAGUAUCAAUGAACAAUCAACUUGACAAGUUUUGUGAAGGUUGGACUGUGAGGGCCUGCGGGGUGUCUUUGAUGCCUGCUCCCUUUAAAUUGAUCAGCGGAGGCUUUUCCACUGGCUCUGGAUUGAUAAGUCUGUCUAUUCGUUGUCACUGGCAUGGCCUGCUUCAAAUUGUCCCCCUGUGGACUGUCCUUCUGGGGCAUAUCUUUGAUCUUGAUCUCAAAUCAGGUAGGACUACCCGCUGAACUUAAGCAUAUCAAUAAGCGGAGGAAAAGAAACUAACAAGGAUUCCCCUAGUAACUGCGAGUGAAGCGGGAAGAGCUCAAAUUUGAAAUCUGGCAGCCCGGCUGUCCGAGUUGUAGUCUAGAGAAGCAUUAUCCGCGCCGGCCCAUGUACAAGUCUCUUUGAACAGAGCAUCAUAGAGGGUGAUAAUCCCGUCUCUGACAUGGAUUUCCGGGGCUUUUGUGAUAUGCUCUCAAUGAGUCGAGUUGUUUGGGAAUGCAGCUCUAAAUGGGUGGUAAAUUCCAUCUAAAGCUAAAUAUGGGCGANAGANCGAUAGCGAACAAGUACCGUGA